rnacentral:misc_RNA from 1 species
UGGGUGGUGCGAAAUCGAACGCUUUGUCCUUCUCUCUCUCAUUCUCUCCCAUUGCGUUGCCUCCUCGAUUUUGUUCCUGCAAAUCCCUGCCUGGAUCUGUAAGUUAUUUUCCGUUUUCUUAUUAUUAAACUUAUUUGUAUCUUGUCAUAGAGAUCGAAUGCAUUCAAUUCCACCCAAUUUUGCUCUCUUGUGACAUUUUCAUCUUAAGUUAUGCUUCUGCAACUUCUGAGCCAUCUCCAAAACCCUAGAUCUUGCUUUUUCGCCUUUUUAUGGCUUUGAUUUAGGUUCU